CUGAGGCAGGAGAAUCACUCGAACACGGAAGGCAGAGGUUGCAGUGAACCCGUAUCCAGUCACUGCACUACAAGCUGGGCUAUAGAGCGAGACUCCAUCUCAAAGAAAGAAAAAGAAAAAUGGAUUCAAAGAAUUAUCGCUGUUAAGUUUCACCAUCAAAUUACUAAACGUGGUUCCAAAGGAAUAUUUAAAAAGGGAAAUUAAGUGUUUCCAAGAAAGCCCUAUUUACAGCAGAAACACGACACUGUUCAUGACCUCACCACACAAACUUCCCUCAUGUGUUGGGAAGGACCAAGGGGCUCUCUGGUCCUGCCCCUGCGUUAAUUACCUCCAGGAGGUCCACACUAGGACCCCAAGGCCUGGGAACCAGCCCGGAUCAGGGACAGAGAAGUGGUGAAUGUGGCUUCAAGGGGCACUCCUGGGGUGCAUAGGAAGAUUUGUGACAGCCCAGAGGAUAGAGGAAGUAGUGACUUUGAAAAGGCAAGUGUCAGGUUAUCAGGGACCAUGUAUCUCCAUUUCUGGCAGUGAACUGACGGUUUCAGACACUCAUGAGAAAAGCGUCCCACGUGGAAGGCCAAGAAGUAGGAGGACUGUCAGACGUCUGGACAUUAGCCACAUUCCUAAGCAAGGACUACACUGCGCAUGUUCGAAGGGGCGUGUCAAGGGCGAGGCCAGGAGGAGGGGCAGUGCCGAAGGAGAGACGGUGCCGAGGGAAGGGGCGGGGCGAGGAGAAGGGGCGGAGCCGAGGGAAGAGGCAGGCGAGUUCGGCUCCAGUAGGAGGAGCGUUACUAUGGGAACCCUGACGGGUUUGUGAGCAGCUCUCGGUCCCCUGCUGCUCUGUGAGAAAUCAAACUUCUGGCACUGACGAAGCAUGAAGCCAGCAUCUUAAGGGGAGGUAGUGACAUAAUUACAAGAUACCAUCAGCCGCGCUGGUCCCGCUGUCGCCUGGCAGGCAGGAGAGGUUUGGGAACAACCAGGCUCCCCUUGGCAUGGCAGAACUGCUCCAGACACAGGGAGGUGUGGAUUGGUUUGUGCUGUGUACUAACAUGCAAUACAAAUACUGAUGAAAACAAAACUAUUGCCCUCUUACCAAAUGGGAAAUUAAUGUUAUGACUGGAUAAAUUCAAGGUUGUCUAUCUCUGUAUUCUGAUGGAAAAGCGUGGCGUUUAGAAGCAUUGCUUGCUCCUUCAGUUUCUAACAGGCCAGUUCUUGGAGAGACCAGGAAGCCAAGAGUUUCCUCCAAGAAUGGAGAUUCCUUGGGAGCGAGGUUUGCCUUGAGUAAAGAAAGAUGGAUCACAUGUAGUCAAAGGCAGUUGUCUCAAGAACACAGCCAGAAAGAACUGGGGCUGCCAGCAUUGUGGGGGUCCUCUCUCCCACCUGAAAAGCUACUGCUGCCUGCCGACCGACCCUCUCAAGAGGAGACCUCUCUGGGCUCCAGCACCUAAAACAGACAAAACUGGGAGGACGCUUCUGUCUUCUGUGUCACACAUGUCCUGGAGAAAAUCCGUGUAUCUGAAUGACCAAAGGAAAACUAUGAGAAAAAAAUGCAAAAUCUGUGCCUGGCCAUUCAGUGUCUGGCUGGGGCUGUGUGGUGCACAUGCAUUCCAAGAAGACUGAAGGGUGCUGAGCCUGCAGAAAAUGUCCCUCAGCCCCGCCUCUCACACCUGGAGUAUGACUGCCCAUCCAGGUUCAUGAUGCAGAAUUGUCUUUAAAAGGCCACUGCAGAGAUGGAGAGAGGAUUUUCUAACCCUAAUGGAACAUGACCAGCUCUCCCGCUGGGGAAAGCCGCAUGCACCAGUGACAUGCUGCCCAAACUGGCCCAGACCACACUCUGCUAUCUAAGGAAUAAGCCCUACAUUUGCCCUUUAUGGGUAAAGGGAGAGGGUGAGAGAGGAGAGGAGUGUCCGCACAGACAUGAGAAGCCUGCAGAUCCACAUGACCCCCUUGCUGAACAGAAUAUUAAAGAACAACAUGUGGAAACAAUGACCCCGUAGCAGAUAAGCUUCUAGAGCAGGCUUCAACCACGCUUCAUCUGGACCCACCAGCAAGGAAGUCUGCCCGCCCUCUGUGUUGAUGGUCUGGGGGAUACCAUUACUGAGACAGAUUUAAGAAAUGAUCUCUACCUGUGGGCGAGAUCCGGAUGGUCACUGUUGUGCAGACAGCCGUGUGCUCUCAUCAGCUUUCCACAGGGCAGGCUGCGGAAAUGGCCACUGAGAAGUCCUUCUGUAAAUUGAUUGUCCAUGGCUGCAGAAUCACCAUCUAAUGGGGGGAGAUUCCAAGUCCUCAAGGAAAAGGAGAAAGAGAAGGACAGAACAGCAGACUCUGGGAUCCUGUCAGAGCCUAUUUCAGGGCCACCAGGAGCCCCUCCUCCUGUUACAGCUCUGGUCUCCACUUUGGAGCCUCCUUCCAAGGAGUGAGAUUACCUUUCUGACUUUUUCUGACCAUAGACAACUUUUCUGACUAUUUCUGUCCUUGACACCUGGCAAGGACAGUAGACCCAGGGACCUGGGCUCCUGGGCCCAUUCUUGCACAGCUUCGUCUUGAUCGUGCGAUUUGAAGUCGUUCUUGUGCGGUGGAAGCAGGGCCCUAGGACCACCCGAUAGAUCAAUGGUCUCUGGCCUCUGCCCCACCGAUGGUCAGAUGGUGGCCACUCAGGGUGCAGGAGUCCAGCCAUCGCUGCUUCCUUGAGUUGAAGAGGUUGGAUGCUGGUCCACUUGCUCCUAUCCCACCCUUGGCGAUGUGGAUGGUUGCUCUUUGAGCCUGGUAACAUCACUGACUUGGCCCUGCCAGGCAUGCCCUGCCUUGUGGGGGCCCUGUGUACUCACACACUGCUUUAAGGGGCUUGCCCUUCCCUGGGCCAAAUUCUAGUUUUGGCCAGUGCCCCAGGAAGCUCAGUCCCCUGUUUUGUUAUCUUGGCUAUUUCUGUGACACCCGUGGCUCCCCUGGGCCCCUUUUCUCCCAGGGCUUGGGCUGGGCUGGGCAUCUGUAGGUCUGGGAUGUUUGCCCUGUAAGGGAGGCUCUGUCACACCAGUGGGCAGGCAUGGGGACACAUGACAGGUUGCUGGCUGGCUAGGGCUCUGCAGAUGCCACAAUCCCCCUCCCCUCCAGCAGCCUCUGAGUCCAGCUUCCCCAGUGACACUGAUUUCUCCGGGCUGAGGAGCUGUCUGGGGUUAUCUGGGUGCAGUCUUGGCUCCUUUAAGGCUGUACUGGUCAGUGGCCCCUGAGAAAGGUCAAAUCCAGGUGCCACCAUGCAAGGGGAGUGUCUAUGGCCCUACCGCUGGGUUUUCAGUGGGCUGGGCAAGGCCUGGUUGUUGGGGUCCUGAUGGGGUUCAGUGCCAGGGCCUGUCCUAUGGGGUGUCCAGGGAAGAUGUAGAAAGAACAGGGGUUUGGAAUCCCUUCUCAAAGUUACACUGUGGAUACCAUGAGAUCCGGAUGUCCAGGUCCAUGGGGUGUUUGGGAGAGAAUUCCAACACAGAAAUCGCCAAAAAAAUCCCAUGGUUUAUCCUGAGAUAGGAACAGGCUUGCCACAUCUUGAGCCACUGGGCCCCCAGAGAGUGGCCUGCUGCCCUGGGCUCUGUGGAAUUCUUCUUGUGCUGCUGGGCCUUGGCCUAAGGUCAGCUUCUGGGCUUCUGGAGCUGGGCUGGUGGGCCAGGGAGGGCCAGCCUGUCCUUGGGGAGGGUCUCCAUGCUAAGGGAUGCCCUCAGAGGACUGGGUGCCAGAGACACUCACUCCAGGACCAGGGCCUUCCUAGCUGAAUGGAAAGCAAACUUGGUCCACUUCUCCCCGAAGCCCAUCUGACUCUUGUACGGCUAGGCCCCAGAUAUCUGGGUCCUUGGAGUUUUGGGGUCUCUAGUAACCCACCUGGUCUGACACUGAAGAAACCCCUACAGGCUGCUGAUCCCACAGUGAGGGGUGUGUACCGCCUGGGGUAUGUAUGGGCGCUCGUGAGUGAGUGUCCCUGCUGAUCCCACAGUGGGGGUGUUUACUGCGUAUAGUAUAGGAACUCGUGAGUGGGGACCCCUACUGCACUCUGGCCCUGUUGGUGCUGGCAGCUAUGGGUGUGAGCUAGCACAGACGGGACCAAGCCCUCCAGGGGCCUCCAGGGUUCUUCUAGGGCAGGAGGGGAAGGGUGUGGUGGGGGCUUGGAGGGGUCUUGCCCUCAUUCCCUGCCCUGUUACUGAGGUGAGUCCAGCGCCUGCCCUGGGGCCCAGCUGGCCUGUUUUUAGAAGCUUCUUAGAGAAGGAAGAGGAGAAGGAAAAGGAAGGCUUGGGGAGCAGGGAUGGAGGGUCCUGGGCACUCCCCACUAUUUACUGUCUUAGAUGGUGACUCAGGAGGGGACCUGGUGCUGGAGACCACGUUGGGGGCAGUGGUCACAGUGCAUCUUUCUGAGCUCAGCCAUGGAGGCCUGAAAGUGCUUCACAACCACAUCAUCAUCCAGAGCCCAGGCCUGGGACAGUGCAUCUUAGGAAAGCUCCCACAGGACAAACAGGGAGAGCUUCAGGAGAGGGGUCUAGGUUUGGGGCUGGGCAUCAGGCCAGGAGGGGUCUCCUGGGAGGGGUCUGUGCCUUCACCCUGUUUCUGCCAUGGGCACCUCACACUAGGCAGUGCUGGGUCCUUUCUGGACACCCCUGGGGUCCAGCUCUGCACAGGAGGCCACAAAUGGGGGGAGGCCCCGGCAGGGAAGUGGUCUCCACACUCAUGGCUUUCAUCCGAGUUGUGUCAGGGGUGGGUCCAGUUUCCAGGAGGACUCAUGGUGCCCUGUCCAGGCCACCAGGCCUGACUUGAUUUGGCCCUCCCUCUGGGUUAAAGCAGAGGGUCCUGUGGACAGUGUGAGCACCGCCCUCGGGCCAGGUUUUGUGUGCUUGUGUGCUCCCUCGGCACUCUCGGGCACAUGGGGACAGGGUUCUGUGCACUUUCAAUGCUGUAUGUGCCCUGGCUAUGAGCAUGCACUUGCCCUACAGAAGGCAGAUGUACCAGAGCCUCAGGAUGAGCUUGUGAUGAGCUUGAAGUAGGGGUUUGUGGGAGCAGCAGGCAUGGGAGGACCUGGCCCUUCAUGGUGGAGGGCUGGUGACCUGAGCAGGGCCUACUGGGGCCUCAGUCUGUGGUGUCGGGGUCCCCCUCUGUAUGGGAUGAGACCUCCCCCAGGAGGCUGGAUCAGAUAAGGUCCUGCAGCUCCUUAUAGGGGUGUUCUCAUGUCCAUCAAAUGUGACCCCUGAAAGAGGGGGCUCCCUAAGUGCUCUCCCAAGAUGAGUCCUGGCCCAGUCUGCCCAGGAUGCUGGCCCUGAGUCCCAGCCCCAGCCGUGUGAUGCCCUCUCUCAGGCAGGGCAUGGUUUGUGUGCCCUGCAGGGAUCUUCCUCUGCCUCCUGUGCAGAGGAGGGGAGCUGGGUCCUUCUGGAGGAGCCAGACCCCUGGGCAGGGUCCCUGGACUGGGUUUCCUGUGCACACUUGUCCCAUCAAUCAAGCACUGUAGGGGCCACUUUAAGGUGGCAGUCUGGGUGCACAACAUUUUCUUGUCUUCGAGGAAGGAGCAGAGGUGUUCAGAGCCCCCUGGACUGCCCUGAAAACCUCACUCUUCCAGGCCCCUCUGCAGACCCUUCUGAAGGCCAGAUCUCCAGGCAGUAGGCUGGGCUGUCACCCUCUUCUCUGAGACCCUACACCUGUCCUGAGACCUCCCCACUGUCCCUCAGAUGCCCCAUCCCUCCGGAUUCCCCACCUCCCCUGGGACCCUCCAGGCCCCACCUGCCUUACUUGACGCUGCAGCGCUCUCUGAACAUGGCGUGGCUGUGAAGGUUUGGCUCACAUCUAGGUCAUUCUGGUGCAUGUUCACUGAGGACAUCUUGGCCUGCUCCAUUUUGUAUACAGCAGGGCCAAGCCUCAGAACAGACACAAGAGUCACUGUCAAAACUGCUGUCAUAAAACAGCCGUUCUGCAAGGAAAGGGGGCUUUUUCUGCAGAUACUUCAUUUCCAUAGCCAGGGAAAGUCAGCAGCGUGCAGCUCACCUGUGUUCCCCACACCACUGUCUGCCCAGGAUGUGUGACUGAUCCCUUCCGCCCCCUUGGGGUUGACUUUCCCUCCAUCUGGGUAACUGGGCUUCUGACACAGUCUGGCCUAUGCAUCCUACUCUGGUUGGGUGUGGAAGGGCCAGACCUGGUGUUUCCUUGGGUUCUUGGCCUUUGUCUUCUCGACAUUCAGUAGGAGUGACUAUGCUGGGCCCCAGACCUCUGUAAGUAUUCAUUUGGAGACCCAAUAAGACAUCUAUGGACAGAAGAUGCUCUGGUGAGACAGACUUCAGGGUGACCCCAAGGGGGAUCCAAGUCUAAGGAUUCUGGAAGUUUCCAGUCUUUGGUUGCACAGUUCCUCAGGAGAGGUUCAGUCUGCCUAGGACUGGGCCUCUUCAUGAAAGGUGGGCAAGAGCUCAGGUUGUGAACUCUGAUCUGGAUUUAUUCCUUCCUAUGGGGUGUCCAGAAGGUGUUCCUGUUCCUGCCUUAGAAGCGGCCCAUGCCCAGGCAUCAGAUUCCUCCCAGCAAGGUGAUCCUUGCAGGGAUGGGCAGGAGGGCUAGGGACAAGGCCUGUUGUCCUUUUGGUGAGGAAAGUGUGCCCUGCCCUGUCUGAGAGGCAGGCAGCACCAGGAAGCAACAAUAGGCGCCUGUCCUAAACCCUGAAGAGCAGUCAUGGGGGACCCUCACUCACAGCUGCGCCUUCUUGUUGUACCUAGAUUUAUUCCAGUUAAGCAUUUAUAGGCAUUUAUCUGUAUGUCUGAUGCCCUGAUGUUUUUGCUGUCGGUAAGAAGUGAUGGAGUGAGCUGAGCUGCCAGGUUUCCUGGAGUGAUUCUUGGAUGCUGGGUCAUGUGGUUAGGGGUCCCGAUGGGACUGAACUGGAAGGAGCCAGAAUAGGACAGAACCAAGCCCCUGAUGAGUGGCCACUGGUGGCUUGGCCUUAUGACCAUAGGACACACUGUUCCCAGGGCACAGACACGCUGGGCUUUGGUUGGGUCUUGGCCUCCAGGUAGGGCCUGGUGGGCAGCGGGCAGCGACUCCUGAGACACUACUGUGAUUCUCGGUGGUGGCUGUGGUACAAAGCCUGCAGGGCUAGAGUUUGGAGUGAGAUUCAGCAGGAACUGUGGCCUCUCCCAGUGACGGUGUGUCACUCCCAUUCCCAGCACGCAUGCCCACAGGCCACAGCCUCCGCAUCACACACCCCCUGCCAAGUCGCCCAUCCAUGGAGCAGCCCCCAUACAGCAGGGUCAGGCUCUUACCUCCACCUCCAGGGCACAGACAGGGGCAGUUCUGUCUCACUGUAAGGCAAUGGAAGGAGAGCUGAGGACCUGGACCAGGCUGGGGGCCAGGUCUCAGCCCAGGAGCCUGCAUAGGGAAGAAAGGACAGACAAGGCCUCCGUGCUGGCUGACACUCAGGAGGGGCUGGGGCAAAGGAGCAGAAGGAGUACAAGAUCAGGCAGGGACUGCUCAGGAUCCAUGGGGGCUCGGGCUGCACAGUGGGGCUGCCCCUCCUGGGCUGCAGGCAGCGUCCCCUGUGGGAGCUGAGCAAGUCCAGUCCUGAGAUGGGACAGUGUUGCCCAGGGGUGUGUGGCUGGGCCCUGACAACAGUCUCCCCAAAAGUGACCACAUCACCCGGCUCAAUUCCAGGAAGGCUGAGAAGUGCCCAGUACACCUAGGAUGCACCUGGAGCCCAUCCUGUCUAAUAGACUCUGACCAUCGCACGUCCACCAGCCUCUCCUGCAUAUUGGCCACCACCCCUUCCCUUUUCCUCAUUUCUCCAUCGUGUCUGACCCAGAGACUGUGACCCUCUCUCCAGCCACAGUGGCCCUUCUUUUACCUUCAUCCUGUAAAAGCCCUUGAGCAAGACUCCUCUGAUCCAUGAACAUGCCUGCCUUGUCCACUUACUAAUUGGGCUGCUGUGCACUGCUGCUGUGGCACCAGAGGUAAUGAGGGUGACUGAGGGCCCCACAGGUGGCCAGCUUGGCCCUCUACCCAAUUCCUAGCCUCAGGAGGUUCUCAGGGGCCUUGGCUUGGGGCACCUGGCUGUCCUCCUCCCACCAUUCUUUUCUGACAACCUCACCCACCUGUCCUCUGUCCAAGGUGCUACUGAGCUUUGGGGACUGACCGAGGCUCCUCUGCUGAGGGGUCCCAAGUGAGUCGCUGCCCCUGGAUCUACGUCAUCCGCUGUCCUCUUCAGCACCAUCCACUCCACCCCAGGCCGGCUCCAUGCAGAUGCAUCCCCGAGUCACCAGUCUCAGGGUCCUCUGUUGUAGGAUGCAGAUUACUGUACCUGCUGUACACAUUUAUUAUGUGAAAUAAAUUAUAUAUAUAAUAUAUAAAGUAAAUGAGGACUUUGAUCUGCAUUUUCCCGAUGAAUACUGAUGUUGAGCACUUGUUAGCCAUAUUUAUAUCUUUUUUUUUAAAGAUAAAUGUCUAUUCAGGUUCUUUGCUUGUUUUUAAAUCAGUUUAUUAGAUUUUGGUGAAUAUUCUCUUUUCAGUUGUGUGGGUUUCUUAUGUAUUUUGAUAUUAACCCCUUAUGAGAUAUAUUGUUACAAAUAUUUUCUCCGAGUUCAUAAGCUGCUUUUUAAUUUCAUUGAUUGGUUUCUCCUGUGCAGAAGCUUUAGGGUUAGAUGUACUCCUACUUGUAUUUUUGUUUUUUGUUUCUUGUGCUUUUAGUGUCAUAUUUAAUAAGUUAUUAUCUGAACCAA